GCCUGGCCCUAAACAAAAGCUGAUUAUUACAUAAUGCUCGCCUGGGAACUACAAGCUCUACCUUAAAACCCAAAGGACUUGGCGGUGCUUUAGACCCCCCUAGAGGAGCCUGUUCUAGAAUCGAUAAUCCCCGUUCCACCUCACCCCCUCUUGUUCACCCCGCCUAUAUACCGCCGUCGUCAGCUUACCCUUUGAAGGUCUAAUAGUAAGCAAAAUUGGUAUGACCCAAAACGUCAGGUCAAGGUGUAGCGCACGUGGGGGCAUGUAAUGGGCUACAUUUGCUGCCUGCAGUAAAUACGGAUCUUGCACUGAAAUAAGCAUGUGAAGGAGGAUUUAGCAGUAAGGGGAGAAAAUGAGAGCUCCCCUGAAAACGGCCCUGAAGCGCGCACACACCGCCCGUCACUCUCCCCAACGAACUCUUAAACAAUAAGUAAUACCAGUUAAUCAUAAAGGGGAGGCAAGUCGUAACAUGGUAAGCGUACCGGAAGGUGUGCUUGGUUAAACC
rnacentral:rRNA from 1 species